rnacentral:rRNA from 1 species
GAUGAACGCUGGCGGUGUGCCUAAUACAUGCAAGUCGAGCGAACAGACGAGGAGCUUGCUCCUCUGACGUUAGCGGCGGACGGGUGAGUAACACGUGGAUAACCUACCUAUAAGACUGGGAUAACUUCGGGAAACCGGAGCUAAUACCGGAUAAUAUAUUGAACCGCAUGGUUCAAUAGUGAAAGACGGUUUUGCUGUCACUUAUAGAUGGAUCCGCGCCGCAUUAGCUAGUUGGUAAGGUAACGGCUUACCAAGGCAACGAUGCGUAGCCGACCUGAGAGGGUGAUCGGCCACACUGGAACUGAGACACGGUCCAGACUCCUACGGGAGGCAGCAGUAGGGAAUCUUCCGCAAUGGGCGAAAGCCUGACGGAGCAACGCCGCGUGAGUGAUGAAGGUCUUCGGAUCGUAAAACUCUGUUAUUAGGGAAGAACAAAUGUGUAAGUAACUAUGCACGUCUUGACGGUACCUAAUCAGAAAGCCACGGCUAACUACGUG